rnacentral:rRNA from 1 species
UACCAGCACCCCGAGUGGUCGGGACGUUUAUUGGGCCUAAGGCAUCCGUAGCCGGUUCUACAAGUCUUCCGUUAAAUCCAGCUGCUUAACAGAUGGGCUGCGGAAGAUACUAUGGAGCUAGGAGGCGGGAGAGGCAAGCGGUACUCGAUGGGUAGGGGUAAAAUCCGUUGAUCCAUUGAAGACCACCAGUGGCGAAGGCGGCUUGCCAGAACGCGCUCGACGGUGAGGGAUGAAAGCUGGGGGAGCAACCGG